rnacentral:rRNA from 1 species
CGGGAGGAGCUCAAAUUUGAAAUCUGGCGGUUUUGCCGUCCGAGUUGUAAUCUGGAGAAGCGUUUUCUGUGCUGGACCGUACAUAAGUUCCUUGGAAUAGGACGUCAUAGAGGGUGAGAAUCCCGUCUUUGGUACGGACUACCAGUGCUCUGUGAUACGCUCUC